CACAGGGCGGAGACCAGGGGAGGGCUGCUGGGAGUGGGGCGUGGUGGCGCUGCGAGAUGAAACCCCCGGUGUUGGUAAGCGGGUAUCAAGGGAGCGGCGAGGGCCUGGGCCUCACGCUUCUUGGUCUAGGCGGCUGGAAAGCAAGACACGGCAUCCCCUUUUGGACAUGGGGGAGCAGCAUGGCACUUCUAGUACCGACUGUAUGAACUUUCCAGCAAAAGCUGUUCCUACCCAGUUUGCAAGGCCCAGUCAGCUUGUACUCUCAGAGGGCCAGCACUCCACUCUGAUGGAAAUCUGCCUGUGAUGCCAGCCUGGGGAGUGCCCUUCACACGUGAUCUCAUCUAAGCCUGGCUUGACAGGUAUGUAUUGUAUCAUCAUCCCAUUUCACAGAUGUGGAAACUGAGACCAGUGAGGUAAAGCAACUGGUCAACAUCACAUGGUUAGUAAGUAUCAGAGUCCGGAUUUGAGCCAGAUCUGGUUCCAGAAUCUACAUGCCUAAACACUAUGUGCUGGGGCCUCUACAGCACUGCCCAUGCCUCUAGGGUACUUGACAGGUCAAGUCUAACCCUGAAAGAGCUGCUCUAGGCCUGACCCACUCCCAGUCCAUCCAAACAGUCUGUCAAGCUCAGGCCAGGGCACUGUAAGGGAGAGGAGACUCCACUGGCCUGGCCCUACCUUAUUUAGAAGAGUGAUACAGGAAACCCAAGGCAGUGAGGAGCUUCAGGAAGCAGUGUUACAUCUGUCCCCACCUUAACUACACUGGACAUAAAGCCUCUUGCUAUUGGCCUGGACCUGAGACACCCAUGUGGUGGAUAGAGAUGGAGACAGAGUCAUUCAUUCAUUUAACAAACCCUACUCCGAACCAAAUGUGGUUCCUGCACUCAUGUAACUUAUAAUGCAACAGAUGAAUAAUCAGAAGUACACAAUGCUGUCCAGACAUGGUGGCUCAGGCCUGUAAUCCCAGCACUUGGGAGGCUGAGG
rnacentral:lncRNA from 1 species